rfam:Prunus persica cultivar Lovell chromosome G3, whole genome shotgun sequence.
AUCGUGGUAUCAGAGUCAUGUUAUUUGCAUGUUGCCACCACAUAUGUGUUGCUCAUAUAAAUAACCUGGCUCUGAUACCAUAAC